rnacentral:piRNA from 1 species
UUGCCAAUCGAUCUACUGAAUUUUCGGAGU